AGAUACCUUGGUGGGAUGGCAAAGGUGCCUACGUUCUGUUCUUCGCCAGGUCAAUACCAUGAUGGAGCGCAAUGGCCGUUCAUCUGCCAUUGGUUAUGACGCUUGCACUAAGCUCUAUUCACCAGUGUCUUAACGGACGAUUUAGACCGUUAUCGUGUGGUGCCGGGCGGCACCGGUGGAACACUGUAGCAUGACUGCUACAGUGUCUUAACGGACGAUUUCGACCGUUAUCGUGUGGUGCCGGGCGGUACCGAAUGGUGCAUGGCGGUACCGGUCGAACACUGUAGCAUUCUAGCCAUCCCCGUCGUGGUAGUUCAGAAAGGUCAUAGCGUCAUCAAGAACACGUUCUUCUCAGCUUGCAGUUGGCCUCUCAACCGAAUGGUGUCGCACCAUGCAGCAUGCGGCGACACGAGAGGUGAUGGAAAUACUCGUGACCCUGCAAAUAAACCGAUUAUAAAUAUCCUCUCCCACUUCUUCACUCCCCUUCAUCACUCUCGCUCCGUUCCUUGUGCAGAACACUAGCCCAUGGCCACCUCCCUUUACAUUGUCCUCUCUUUCUCUGUUUGGGUGCUCCUUCUCUUGCACAACUCACCAGCCCCACUUGGCUUGGGCCAGCAGCGAGCAGGUGAACCAUGGAUGAGUGCUCAUCACUACAGCCCCGUGAGCCACUGCAGAAUCGAUAAGCUAAGCGCCCUUGAGCUCACCCGACGUGUGCCCUCGGAAGCUGGGUACACGGAGUACUGUAACCAGUUUACUGAACAGCUCCAGUGUGUGGGUGUGGCUGCAUGUCGUCGUACCAUCCAACCGAGAGGCCUUCUCUUGCCAUCCAUUUCCAGCCCACCACGUCUCGUCUAUAUUGUGCAAGGAAGGGGAAUCAUUGGAACAGUGUUCCUUGGUUGCCUAGAGACGUUCCCAUCCUUCCAGCAACCCAAACAAAUAUGGGAGCAGGAGACAGGCAAAGAAUGUCAGAGGUUCCGAUACGAGCACCAGAUGAUCCACUGCCAUGAGGGAGACAUCAUCGCAUUGCCCGCUAGAGUUACUUAUUGGAGCUACAACAAUGCCGAGGACUCGGCAACUGUUGUUGCGAUUACCGUCACCGUCUUCGACACGAGCAGCAACGAUAUAUAUAUAUAUAUAUAUAUAUAUAUAUAUAUAUAUAU